CUUAGAAUAGGCCUUCGGGCCCUUCUUUUCUCAUCUGGCUGGGCCGAUUUGAAUUGGGACUGGGGUAUUACAGAUGAUUUCACGGAUCAAGCUCAAAGGCCCUUGGCCAUAUGACAUCUUCUCUGUUACAGUAAUUUCUUGCAUCCAAACUUCAUCUUCAGGAACAACCUCUAUUCCCAAGAUUAAUGAUAUCCAGCAUAUCAUGAAUCUUUUGG
rnacentral:lncRNA from 1 species